ensembl:lncRNA
UCAUUAAUCACUUACCCCCACGUCGAAAACCUGGAGGCUUGAGACCGUCCCAUAGUGGGUGGAGUAACCCUUUAAGCCUGAAUUAUGAAAGAAAAAAAGUCACAAUUAACUCUUUUCUUUUUUUUUUUCAUUUUGUGGCAGGAAGAAAAAAAGAGAAUCGUGAGAUGUAAAAUUAGAAUUUCAGAAAGUCUAAAUUCUGAGCUUGUUUCUUACAGUUUUGAUUUAGAUUUUGUAAUUCUGAAUUUUUCACUCAGAAUUGCGAGGACAAAAAUCUGAAUUGUGCGGAAAAAAGGCAGAAUUACAAAAUAUAAACUCAUUAUUGCGAGUUAAAAAGUCACAGUUAUGAUUUUUAUUUUUAUUUUGUGGUGGAAAUAGGCUUCUGUAGAGAAUAGCAGAGUAUAUAUUAUUAUUACUCCUAAUGUCUUGAUGUAUUUUCUUUCCUCUGUGAAACACAAAAUCAGAUGUUUUGCAGAAUGUUCACGCUACUCUUUUUACUCUUAAGUUUUUUUUAUAUACAGUUAAGCUGAAAAAAGAGGCAAAGGGGACAAAAUACACUCUUAAAAAGUUGUUUCAACCAAACUUUGGGACACAUAUGGACUAACCCAACUUUUGGGUUAAAAAAUGUAAUGUGAAACUUUAACCUAAGGGCGUAACGUCAUAAAAUAAUGAAAGUAGUUCCAUAUUCCUCUGAAGAAGUCAUUCUAUAAAGCUGAUGUUUGGUGUUACUGAUAACAAAAAUGCUUUUUUUAAGGUUCCUCAGCAGGAAACAGAAGAAACUGAUCUGGGAAAUGUGGAGUCAUUACAGAGAGCUCUUCAUCACCUGGACCGACUGAAAACACUUGUGGACGACAUGAACGAGAGGAAGGCCAGCGCAGAGGAUGAUGGGACAGAUUGUACAGACACUCCUGCAGCUAAUAUCACAGACUGGGCCAGAAUCAAUAAACGCUUGUGAAUCAGAAAUCACAGACUCUUAUUAUCCUACAGAUACAGAGGUUUCAUUGAUCAUAUUAGCUUAAAAAGCUGAUUGUGCUUUAAAGGAUCUUUAAAACUUCUUAAAAGAUAAAAA